AGCGAACGUUAGCGGCGGGCUUAACACAUGCAAGUCGAACGAGAAAGCGGCUUCGGCCGUGAGUAAAGUGGCGGACGGGUGAGUAACACGUGGAUGAUCUACCCUUGAGCGGGGGAUAACAGUCCGAAAGGAUUGCUAAUACCGCAUACGUCAGCUGACGAUGGUCAGUUGGGAAAGCAGCCCUCUUCAUGAAAGGUUGCACUCGAGGAUGAGUCCGCGUCCCANCAGCUAGUUGGUAGGGUAAUGGCCUACCAAGGCUAAGACGGGUAGCUGGUCUGAGAGGAUGAUCAGCCACACUGGAACUGAGACACGGUCCAGACUCCUACGGGAGGCAGCAGU
rnacentral:rRNA from 1 species